rnacentral:snRNA from 1 species
AGCUUUGUGCAGUGGCAGUAUUGUAGCCACUGAGGUUUAUCCGAGGCGUGAUUACUGCUAAUUAAAUUUGUCAUAGUAUG